rnacentral:rRNA from 1 species
GAGUUUGAUCCUGGCUCAGAUUGAACGCUGGCGGCAGGCUUAACACAUGCAAGUCGAGCGGAAACGAUGGGAGCUUGCUCCCAGGCGUCGAGCGGCGGACGGGUGAGUAACGCGUAGGAAUCUACCCAGUAGUGGGGGAUAGCCCGGGGAAACUCGGAUUAAUACCGCAUACGCCCUACGGGGGAAAGGCCGGGAUCUUCGGACCGGUCGCUAUUGGAUGAGCCUGCGUUGGAUUAGCUAGUUGGUAGGGUAAAGGCCUACCAAGGCGACGAUCCAUAGCUGGUCUGAGAGGAUGAUCAGCCACACUGGAACUGAGACACGGUCCAGACUCCUACGGGAGGCAGCAGUGGGGAAUAUUGGACAAUGGGCGCAAGCCUGAUCCAGCCAUGCCGCGUGUGUGAAGAAGGCUCUAGGGUUGUAAAGCACUUUCAGUAGGGAGGAAGGCCAGAGUGUUAAUAGCGCUUUGGAUUGACGUUACCUACAGAAGCAGCACCGGCUAACUCCGUGCCAGCAGCCGCGGUAAUAAGGGCGA